GAUGAAGAACGUAGCGAAAUGCGAUAAGUAAUGUGAAUUGCAGAAUUCAGUGAAUCAUCGAAUCUUUGAACGCACAUUGCGCCCGCCAGUAUUCUGGCGAGCAUGCCUGUUCGAGCGUCAUUUCAACCAUCAAGCCCCAGGCUUGUGUUGGAGCCCUGCGGCUGCCGCAGCCUCCCAAAACCAGUGGCGGGCUCGCUAUCACACCGAGUGCAGUAGUUUACUCUUCGCUCAGGGCGUGUGGCGGGUGCUAGCCGUGAAACCCCCAACUUCUCAAGGUUGACCUCGGAUCAGGUAGGAAUACCCGCUGAACUUAAGCAUAUCAAUAAGCGAAGGA
rnacentral:misc_RNA from 1 species